UUCUUCCGCCUCCCACUCUUCUUUUCUUCCUUGGGUUUAGAGAAAAACAGAGAGAGAGAGAGAGAGAGAGAGAGAGUGAGGACGAUGAAGACAGUGAUGAUAACGACGACGAUGACAAAGCAGACGAAGAGGACGGCAAUGAAAAGGCAAAGGACAGGUGAUUUUGUUUAACUAUACUAAGUUUUCGCAAGUUUCGACGUAAUUACAUGUUCAAUUUGCACAGAUGGGUUAUUUUCAGUUUAAUAGAUUGAUUUUGUUUAAUCUACCCUGUGGUUUUCUCCUCUCCUGUCCCUUUUGGGGUUCCAUCGGUUCCUGCAGAGCAGAUCUUUCCAUCCAACGCUCAAAUCUAUGGCUCGUGCUCCUCCUGAAAAAGGUUUGGCUCCGUUCUUGGUUGGCUUUUUCUAAUUUAUGUUCUUUGUUGUGGUUUGCAUGUUGUUUGGUUUGGCUAUUAUGGCUGCAAUUUUUUUUUAGGAUUUAUUGGUUGUCGAUCGAAGGUUCUGCUGGUUUUUUGUGUUUAUUUUUCUCUAAAGAAUAACUUUUUGGGCCUCUCUUUGCUAUUGAGGAGUCUCACGGCAUGCGAUCUGAUCCGAACAGCGACGACAAUGAAGAAAGGUGUGGAUUAUUAGAAACAUGAAGGUUUUGAAGUUUUUAGUACCAAUCAAUACCUGAUUGCUCCUACAUCAGAGGAUAUUAAUUGAGCUGUACUCAAGAGCGCUUGCCUCACACAACUCAUCAAGUUUCAUCUUCAACCCACCUAUACUAGAAGCAGCUACACUGCCGACAUGGUGUGUAGUCAAUGCAGGCAAAAUAAAACUCAAAAAAUUGCCAAUCUCCCUACAUCAGAGGCUGGAUGUUAUGUUAUCGUGUAUUGAAGUACGAUGUCAAGAUCGACCACUCUGAGCUAGCCCUUUCUAGGAGUAAGUAUGAGAAAUGACAAUGAACCCCGUAUAGUUUCUAUGUUCGUUUCAUCGAUACCUCAAAUCGGCAAUCGUCUGUCCAAACACAUGAUAGAAUGAGGUAUAGUGAAUUACAUAUAAAAAUUCCCCCUUUCCAACCUCACUUAUUUUGAGUCAAGUAGACUUAUUUUUACCAAUUGGAAAAGUAGAUUUGAUAAAAACAAAUUGUAAAAUUUUAUUUAACAGACAGUUUUUGUUUUUUUUUCAACACACUAGCAGCCAGCAAGCCAACAAAUCAUACUCCGGCAACUGAAGAAACUUCCAACAACCGCAGCAAGAACAAAUAGUCAGCUUCCAUAACCUCCAGAGCUUUGCAAGCUUCUGGCAUGAAGAAUUCCCAAUCAAAAGACUUCCGCUUUGUCUAAUUUGCAUGAACUCGACUUUAAUUCUAUGCCUUUUGCCAAAGUCGUGUAAUUAGUUACCAAAGACAGGAAUAUAUCUAAACCAUGACUUCUACAUGUAACUUUUGCUAUGACCAAACACUUGGUCAAACCAAUGCAUAUAACUUCUACUA